UUGAUAUGGGCCCAUUGUUUUUGAAAUGGACUGGUUAAAUGCUGCAUUACAUAAUGGGCAUGGCCAAUGCGGCUAUACUGUAACUGAUUUUCAAAACCAAAUAGGUAUGGAUCUUCAAAACACAAGGAUCAAUGAAAUUAGCCGAACAAGCAGUUAUUUAGGUUGUCCAUGUUAAAUCUAUAUUCUGCAUUCUUAUUGUCUUUCAUUGAGCUAUUUGCUUGCAGGCAAUCAUUUACAAUGCAUUUGCUCCAUCUUAUGAUAUCAUGGGCUGUUGUUUGUGAUGUGUGCUACUUGGAACUUCAAAAUCUAAAACCUGGCGAGACGCCAAUAGAAUUUGCAGAAAGGGCUUGUAAUCUAGAGGCACUGAAAGGAUUCCCUUUCUUUUUUCUCGUAUUUUCCAGUUAAAAGUAACUUGUUCAAAUUGGGUGUUCUCCAAUUCCCAUCUCUUCAUUGGAAAUUCUUCUUCUGAAUCUUUUAUGCAUGAAUAACAGGUUUCAAGUUUUGGGGUGUCUGAUUGUAUUUAAAGUUUAGACUUUUCAUUCUCCAUUGAAAGGAGGAGAGAUUUUAGAGAUGACCUUCAGGAAGUCUUUUCUUCCAAGAAUAUUUUCAUCCAAAGAGAAGACCAUAAGCUAAACCGACGAAGAUUCAUUCGAUUCUUCCGGUAAGUAAUAAGCAUCUCUUUACCUUUUAAAUCCAACCAAAUCUCUUAAAUCCUUUUACCAAUUUUUUUAAAAAAAUUUACUGCAUGCC